rnacentral:rRNA from 1 species
CUAACAAGGAUUCCCCUAGUAACUGCGAGUGAAGCGGGAAAAGCUCAAAUUUGAAAUCUGGCAGUCUAUUUUUUCUUCUUUGGCUGUCCGAGUUGUAAUCUAGAGAAGUGCUUACCUGCACUGGACCAUGUAUAAGUCUCCUGGAAUGGAGCGUCACAGAGGGUGAGAAUCCCGUCUUUGACAUGGACUGCCAGUGUGUUGUGGUGUGCUCUCAAAGAGUCGAGUUGUUUGGGAAUGCAGCUCUAAAUGGGUGGUAAACUCCAUCUAAAGCUAAAUAUUGGCGAGAGACCGAUAGCGAACAAGUACCGUGAGGGAAAGAUGAAAAGGACUUUGGAAAGAGAGUUAAACAGUAUGUGAAAUUGUUGAAAGGGAAACGCUUGAAGUCAGUUAUGUUGGCUAGGGAUCAACCUAGCUGUCUUUUGCUGGGUGAAUUUCCUAGUCUGACAGGCCAACAUCAGUCUUGACUGCUGGAAAAGAGCAGAGGGAAUGUGGCACCUUCGGGUGUGUUAUAGCCCUUUGUCAUAUGUGGCGGUUGGGACUGAGGGAUGCAGCGUGCCGCGAGGCUGGGUUUCGACCACGUUCACGCUUAGGAUGUUGGCUUUUAAUGGCUUCAAUCGACCCGUCUUGAAACACGGACCAAGGAGUCUAACAUGCCUGCAAGUGUUUGGGUGGAAAACCCUUGCGCACAAUGAAAGUGAAAGUUGAGAUCCCUGUCAUGGGGAGCAUCGACGCCCGGACUUGAGCUUUUAGCGACGGAUCCGCGGUAGAGCAUGCAUGUUGGGACCCGAAAGAUGGUGAACUAUGCCUGAAUAGGGCAAAGCCAGAGGAAACUCUGGUGGAGGCUCGUAGCGAUUCUGACGUGCAAAUCGAUCGUCAAAUUUGGGUAUAGGG